rnacentral:rRNA from 1 species
CGUGUAGGCGGGAUGAUCAGUCGGUGGUGAAAUCUCUCGGCUCAACCGAGAAUCUGCUAUCGAAACAGUCAUCCUUGAGUGCGGAAGAGGGAAGUGGAAUUCCUGGUGUAGCGGUGAAAUGCGUAGAUAUCAGGAAGAACACCAGUAGCGAAGGCGGCUUCCUGGUCCGCAACUGACGCUGAGACGCGAAAGCGUGGGGAGCAAACAGGAUUAGAUACCCUGGUAGUCC